AUAAUGUCUGACUUACACUCCGGACCAGACGGUGGCGCUAAUGCACUGUAACGCUGGAUACCAACCAACCGCCGUGAAACAAGAAGAACAACCCUCGCGAGAUAUAACACGAGAUUGAGUCCACGCUCCGGUCAGACGAUACAAACCGCGGGAGAGUGACGGCAUAGCUUCAGAUGUACCGAUAGACCACGAGUGUGGCGGAAAACAACACUGAUUGACCUCAGUGACACAAAAUGACCACACGAGGCAGCAGAGGACCGUCUGUAACAGUGAGAUAAAGACGUGGAGCCAGAACCGUGGACAGGCGACACCCUCCUGUGCGUCUCAGGUCCAGUGUCUCAGCUCUGUCUCAAAAUUGAGACACUGGGACUACGAAUCAUAGAUUCGUAGACUCCUCACUGAGCAACUGAAGAGGACGUUGUGAUGUCAUCAGUGACAUCAGAAGGUGAGUUUUCAGCUGUGUGAGUGGAGUCACUGUGUUGGGAGAUGAUGUAAACAGAAGGCCGAAUUAUAGCGCCCCCACCAGGCAGUGUGUUCUGAGCGCGGUGGUGCGAUGACAAAGACAGACCGAAGCGUUUAUCUGAUCCCAGUGCUGGUGUCACAUGAUCAGACGUGUCACAUGAUCACAAACAUGGGAGAAUAAAAGGUGUUUCUGUUUCAGGGAUGAAGUAACGUCACCCUCUGCUGACUCACUGAUGGAACAAGAAGUGUCAAAAUAAAAGCAUUGAUCACAAACACUUCCUGUUCAGUAGUUUUUGUUUUGUGUGUGUGUGUGUGUGUGUCACCAUGACAACGGGUAAACACAGGUACAGCCUCAUUUGAUUCCAGUUGAGCAGAAAUAUGAACAUGUCAUUCAUGAUAAAAUGCUGUUCUAUGUGAUUUGAUAUUCAGAGACAAAGUGAAGAUGAGAAUAUGGAUCAAAGUGACUCAAUGUUUUCACUCGUGAUUUAAUUUCCAUGUGUAAAUAUAAACACAGUCAAAGGUCGUAAGAUCAGUGGCUACAUUCAAACAGUCACUGCCGUUCCAUUGAUGGAACAUAAUCAGUGAUGGACAGUCAUCCACAUAGUCAAAUUACAGUCACAUCUAUGUCACAGCCAUGGUAACUGACUCGGAAUUAAUAACCUUCUUUCUGAAAUGGGCCCUGGUGUGAUGUCACGUUCUGUCUCCGGACAGCCUUGUUUGUCAUGGAAACGGUAACAAAACAUGUUAAUCUCUUACUGAAACACACACACUCCGGUACGCGCUGUAACACACGUGCGACUGCUUUGAUAAAGUUGUCAGUUUUGAAUGUUCACAUGUUUGACACACUCUGUAUUGGUUGAUAAAGUUGUCAGGUUUGAAUGUUCACAUGUUUGACACACUCUGUAUGGGUUGAUAAAGUUGUCAGGAACCAGAGGGGCGGUGAUCUAUCCAGUUCUUAUAAUACAUCCAUGUUUUUUUACAGAAACAAAGUUAAUAAAAAAUAUUAAUCGAGUGAAAACGUCAAUGUUUUGUCUGUAGUGCCAUGUUCUUCCGCUGGGGGACGCAGUGUUUGUUGGAAAAAGAGGGGGCGGGGUUUUGUUGACCUUCCCCCCGGAAGUGCCUGUGCUCUGCAGCGCCUCCUCUCUUUGCUGCAGUUGCGGGAUCUUCAGUCUGAACCAAACCGUGUUUUCUUCACUCAGACGGGGGAUGAAGAGCGACGAUGUUCCGACGGUGGCGCUAAUGCACUGUAACGCUGGAUACCAACCAACCGCCGUGAAACAAGAAGAACAACCCUCGCGAGAUAUAACACGAGAUUGAGUCCACGCUCCGGUCAGACGAUACAAACCGCGGGAGAGUGACGGCACAGCUUCAGAUGUACCGAUAGACCACGAGUGUGGCGGAAAACAACACUGAUUGACCUCAGUGACACAAAGUGACCACAC